UGAAGCUCAAGAACGUGCUUGUAAAACAGCUGCUGCUUAGCAAUGUUUUUUCUUGGGUGAAUAUGCCAGAAUGUGGAUACAUACAUAGAACAGGCAGGGAGAAGAGUAAGAAAAUGAAUCUGGAAGAAAAUUGGUGAAUCCAACCCAGUGGACCUGGAAGCACUCUGACAGGCUCAGAGAGCAGAGUCUGGACCAAAGAGCAAUUACCCCACCAAACGAUUUCAGCUUCCACAAUUCCCAGUGUCACACCAACACUGCUUCCAAGAAGGCUGGCAGGCCCUAGGGCUUCGAUGAACUCUUUAUUGGGGGUGACAAAGAGUGC
rnacentral:lncRNA from 1 species